rnacentral:rRNA from 1 species
GAUGAACGCUGACCGAAUGCUUAACACAUGCAAGUCAACUUGAAUUUGGGUUUUUAACUUAGGUUUGGGUGGCGGACGGGUGAGUAACGCGUAAAGAACUUGCCUCACAGCUAGGGACAACAUUUGGAAACGAAUGCUAAUACCUAAUAUUAUGAUAAUAGGGCAUCCUAUAAUUAUGAAAGCUAUAAGCGCUGUGAGAGAGCUUUGCGUCCCAUUAGCUAGUUGGAGAGGUAACGGCUCACCAAGGCGAUGAUGGGUAGCCGGCCUGAGAGGGUGAUCGGCCACACGGGGACUGAGAGACGGCCCUUACUCAUACGGGAGGCAGCAGUGGGGAAGAAUGGACAAUGGACCGAGAGUCUGAUCAAGCAAUUCUGUGUGCACGAUGAAGUUUUUCGGAAUGUAAAGUGCUUUCAGUUGGGAAGAAACAAAUGACGGUACCAACAGAAGAAGUGACGGCUAAAUACGUG